GUCCACGCCGUAAACGAUGGGUACUAGGCGUCGGGGGAGCGACCCCUUCCGGUGCCGUCGCUAACGCAGUAAGUACCCGCCUGGGGAGUACGGCCGCAAGGCUGAAACUCAAAGGAAUUGACGGGGGCCCGCACAAGCGGUGGAGCAUGUGGUUUAAUUCGAGGCAACGCGAAGAACCUUACCUGGGCUUGACAUGCUGGUGAAAGCCGGUGGAAACAUCGGUCCCUCUUCGGAGCACCAGCACAGGUGCUGCAUGGCUGUCGU
rnacentral:rRNA from 1 species